UAGAGCUCUAAAGAGUCCUGAUAUGUUCUGUGUAUAGAAAGCUAUUUAUAUGGCUUUGUUUGAAGAUCCUUUGGUGGCUUUCAGACUCUGUUCUGUUUACAUAAAAUUAUACAUAUCUUCUGACAUCUAGAAUAUGAAGCGACCUCCAUAUCAGAAGAUGGAUUUGGAAGGAAGGAGCAGGAUGAAGGAAUUUAGGGCCAGAAUAUUACCAUCAUCUAAGUAGCUGAUGUGGCCUGCCUUUACUAUAGGCUAUUGACAUUGUGCUAGGGGCCAAAGUGUGGCCCCCACCCUUCUAGAGAGGCAUCUGCUGUGGUUUGUAUAGAUGGCAAUGGAAGCUGAAAGCGCAUUCCAGGAUGACCCACCAUUUCAGAGUUUGCAAUAUUCCAAGAGGAACUACUAAAAGGCUGGACUGGCAAUCUACACUGAGCAAACCCACAGCUGUAAUGGUCUUGUGUGCAACCUUGUGAGAGGAAUUACUAAAUAACAAGAUGCUACCAGUCCCAACUGAGAUUACAUUCUGUGAGCUGGCUGAAUUGGGACAUGGACAAACUUUAAGACUAACUGCCGGAUUGUCUGUUUUCUUCUUUCUGGUAAAUGGAUUGCUGAAUUGUUUGUCUUCUUCUCUGAAGCAUUCAGGAUUGCUCUUAUGUGUAUAAUCCUGCUCAUUAGUUUGAGCUGCAAUAUUUUUUAAAAAAUUUAAAUUGAUGCCCAAUGACUGGCACCAAGCAACUACGAGCUGUAGAUGACUCUAGUUGCUUUUGGGACUGAGCUGUGAUCAGCCAAUCAUCAAGUUAUAGGUAGAUGGAAACAUUUUGAUAUCUCGAGAUACUAUCACAACAGUCAUAUUUCAUAAACACCCUUGAUAUGGUUGAAUGUCCAAAUGGAAGAACUUUGUAUUGGAAAACCUAGUUGCCGACCAGGAAACAGAGACACCUCUUUGUGCAGAGUUCUUCUUUGAAUGUAGAAAUAAGCAUCUUUGAUAUCCAUUGCAAUAAACCAGUUUUCAUUUAGAAUCAGUGGCAGUUUGAGUCAGUCUCCUUCUAGCUGUGACAUUAUUGGUCACAUAUGGCAAAGGGCAUAUAUACUUCCCAGUGGCAUAGGGAAAGCAUAGGCAGCCUGUGUUCAGGCCACACACACACCCAACCCAGUGG